UGGGGAAUAUUGCACAAUGGGGGAAACCCUGAUGCAGCAACGCCGCGUGCGGGAUGACGGCCUUCGGGUUGUAAACCGCUUUCAGCCAUGACGAAGCUUUUGUGACGGUAGUGGCAGAAGAAGCACCGGCUAACUACGUGCCAGCAGCCGCGGUGAUACGUAGGGUGCGAGCGUUGUCCGGAAUUAUUGGGCGUAAAGAGCUUGUAGGCGGUUUGUCGCGUCGAAAGUGUAAACUCAGUGCUUAACGCUGAGCCUGCUUUCGAUACGGGCUGACUAGAGGAAGGUAGGGGCGAAUGGAAUUCCCGGUGGAGCGGUGGAAUGCGCAGAUAUCGGGAGGAACACCAGUGGCGAAGGCGGUUCUCUGGACCUUUCCUGACGCUGAGAAGCGAAAGCGUGGGUAGCAAACAGG
rnacentral:rRNA from 1 species